UACGGAGGGGGCGAGCGUUAUUCGGAAUUAUUGGGCGUAAAGGGCGCGUAGGCGGCCCGGUAAGUCAAAGGUGAAAUCCCUCGGCUCAACUGAGGAACUGCCUUUGAAACUGUCGGGCUUGAGGCCGGGAGGGGGUAGCGGAAUUCCCAGUGUAGCGGUGAAAUGCGUAGAUAUCGGGAGGAACACCGAUGGCGAAGGCAGCCGCCUGGCCUGACACUGACGCUGAGGUGCGAAAGCGUGGGGAGCGAACGGG
rnacentral:rRNA from 1 species